GACGAACGCUGGCGGCGUGCCUAAUACAUGCAAGUUGAGCGCUGAAGGUUGGUACUUGUACCAACUGGAUGAGCAGCGAACGGGUGAGUAACGCGUGGGGAAUCUGCCUUUGAGCGGGGGACAACAUUUGGAAACGAAUGCUAAUACCGCAUAAAAACUUUAAACACAAGUUUUAAGUUUGAAAGAUGCUAUUGCAUCACUCAAAGAUGAUCCCGCGUUGUAUUAGCUAGUUGGUGAGGUAAAGGCUCACCAAGGCGAUGAUACAUAGCCGACCUGAGAGGGUGAUCGGCCACAUUGGGACUGAGACACGGCCCAAACUCCUACGGGAGGCAGCAGUAGGGAAUCUUCGGCAAUGGACGAAAGUCUGACCGAGCAACGCCGCGUGAGUGAAGAAGGGUUUCGGAUCGUAAAACUCUGUUGGUAGAGAAGAACGUUGGUGAGAGUGGAAAGCUCAUCAAGUGACGGUAACUACCCAGAAAGGGACGGCUAACUACGUG
rnacentral:rRNA from 1 species